AUAUUGACUGGUGGCAGCACUUUGUUCCCAAGAUUUGUUGAGAGACUGUAAGCUCCUUCACUUCACAUCGGCCUGUAGUAAUAUCAUUUUUUAGCUUCCACUUUGAUUUACACUCAUUUUUCAAUGCCAAACUCUCAGGGAUAAGGAUCUCCGCCCUCUAGUUACAGAUGACUCCCAAAUCAACAUAACAACUCAAGAAGAUCCAAUCCUAGGAGUGUGGCGAGGGGGUUCACUUUUGGCAUCUAGUCCCGACUAUGAAUCAAUGCAUAUCACUAAGGCAGAGUAUGAGGAGCUUGGAUCUGCGCGAUGUCGUAAGAGAUUCUUCCGUUGAAUAUUCAAGAUCUGGAAGAGCUUUUUGAUGCCACCGUUCACUGGAUAUCAUCUGGCUCUUAUGGACUGCUAACGAAAUGGUUUGGCGGCUUA